AGGACCAAACCGGAAGAUGCUUUCUUCAAGGAUCCAAACUUUACUUCCAUGAAGUGAUUGAGAAUAUUGGGAGUGGACAAAGAAGGGUGAUGGGCAUGGCAAGAAAGACAUCUAAUAAACCUGUUCCUUGGGGCACCAAUCUGGCUCAGUAGCCAGAAGACAAACUUCCUUCCUGAAAAACUGGGCAUCAAGUGUAGAAGAUCAACUUUAAUCUAAGAACACGUAGUACAUUUGUCAAGAGGAAGCAUAGAGAUGAAAAAGCUGCUGACCAAGGAGAGUUAGACUAUUAAAACACAUCAGCAUCCCUCUAUCUCCAGUGGUGAUCAAGGGAAAGGAUGCAUUCACUGAUUCCAUGGAAGUUUCCCAGGCUUGCCAGCAGAUAAACCCCUGAAAAGGAGAAUGCCCUAUGAGGCAACAUUCAUUCAGAAUCGGCAGGCGGUCAUUAAAUAUCUUUUCCACCAGCUAUGCCCAAAAGCCCUUCCAACAUUGGUCUUAUUUCUCAAACUCCCUGGAUUAGUUUUCCGUUGCUGCCACAACAGAUGACCACAGACUUGGCUACCGAAAAUACCACUUAUUUGUUAUCUCACAGCUUCACUGGGUCAGGAGUCUGGGCACAGCUGGGUCCCUGCUCCAGGUUUCACAGGCAGAAAUCAACGUGGCGGUAGGGCUGUGUUCCUCUCUGGAGUCUCUGCCGAUGAGCUCAUUCAGAUUGUUGGCAGCAUUAAUCCCAUGUGGCUGUGAGACUGAGGUUCCCCCCAUUCUCUUGCUGGCUGUGGGCUAAGGGUUGAUCUACAGACGUGGCUUGCAACCUCUUUCAAAGUCAGCAAUGCAAAUAUUUAUGAAGCAUCUUCUGUGUACCAGACACUUGUCUAGUUGCUGGGCAUAAAGCAAUAAACGAAACAAAGUUCCAGCCUAGAAACAGCAAAUAAACAAACAAGUGAAAAUACAAGAGAUAGCAACGAUAGUACCACGGAAAGAAUAAAGCAGAGCGAGGAAGAGGGAGCUCAGAAAGGAGGAACAUUAUUUUAUAUAGGCCGGUCAGGGAAAGCUGAAUUGACAUGUGCCGUCAGAACACGUCCUGAAGAAAAUGAAGGAGACAUGCAAUUCUCUGGGAGAAAGCAUUCCAAGCAGAAGGAAUGAAAAGUGCAAAUGCCCUGGGGCAGGAGUAUGCUUGCAGAAUUAGAAGAACUGAAGAGAGGCCAUUGUGGCUGCAGCAAAAUAAACAAGGUGGGGAGGGGCAGGAAGAGAGGUCAGUGAAGUCAAAGAAGCUGGGUGUGGAAGAUGACUAUGCAGGAGUUUUGGGUCACUCUAAAGACUGAAUGGGAUCCUCCUGAGAGAGAUGAAAAGCCAUUAGAGUUCUGCAUAGAAGAAAAAUGGGGAUCCCUGGGUGGCGCAGUGGUUUGGCGCCUGCCUUUGGCCCAGGGCGCGAUCCUGGAGACCCGGGAUCGAAUCCCACAUCAGGCUCCCAGUGCAUGGAGCCUGCUUCUC